GGGGGUAUAGCUCAGUGGUAGAGUAUGCCUGGGUUCAAUCCCCAGUACCCCUG
rnacentral:tRNA from 1 species